GCGCGCUAGAGAAUUGAGUCAUGUCAGUUGGGUCAGCUUUCUGACUCAUUGAAUUUCGGCCUUGGGCUAGGGAAAAAUCCUCAUAAUGUUUAAUUGCCAAAUUGAUGGUAUCCUGGAAGUUGAUUACCUGAUUUUCAAAGGCUAACUUAUUCCUUCAUUUCCAAAUGUGCCAUUAGAAAAAGACCACCAGGUUUGUCAUGUCCUGCCCAUUUUCACUACUCAUCAGCUUUGUUGUGAUUUCAAUCCAGAGGUCUUUCAUGUUCUGGCUUUGAAGCAAGGUAGAGCGAAGACAUUGAGGGGAAUGUAACCAGAUUUCUAAGGCUUUGGGGCAGCUGAAGAAGAUAUGCCUAAUAGAUUCCACUUCUCCACAGGCAUUGCACUCCGUGGGGAUAUGAGACAAUCUCUUGUUGAGCAAUUCUUUAUUGGGAAGACGCUCCUUUAGAAUUUUCCAUAGAAAGAUGGACAUCUUUUUUGGUAAUUGUAACUUCCAGAUUCCUUUCCAAAAUUUGCUAUUUCCAGCAGUUGAUGAAGGUUCUGGUCCCGCUUGGCCUUUAAGUUGACUAUGUCUGAUGAUUUCUUUUGCGAUAUAGUAGCCAGAAUUCACUGAAUAAGCCCCAUGCCGUGUAUGAUGCCAGAUAAUAGAAUCUGC
rnacentral:misc_RNA from 1 species